rnacentral:lncRNA from 1 species
AAUGUUUGGUUCUUGCAUCUACAGCCAUAUAGCUUUUCUGCCUCUUUUGGGGAAGACUUCCUUGCUCUACUCAUUUAAAUGCUUCUGCCUUUAUGACUAUUUUAUUGCCAUACCUAUGGGGCUUCUUACUGUAUUUGCCUGUAACCGAAGGAGAUUUUAAAGGAAUUAAAUUUAUUCAGACUAAAUCUUCUGGGGCAUGCAAAGGCAUCUUAAACAAUUAGCAAUAAUUAAAAAGCAUCUAUUCAGACUGGAUAAAAGGUUGUAUUCCUCUCCCGGCUGGCACGGACGAUUGUGGUGCACGCUUCCUGCCAUCCUGCUCUGUGGUCCGCUGCUUGCGCUCACUUCCGUCCCUCACCUGACUCACGUCAGACAGACCGUCAAGAUGCAGCAGGGCUGCCGGGAGAACUUCCGGCUGUGCCCAAAUGUAAAGAAAUCAUGUGACAUAGAAGAAAGACUCAAGCCAAAGUGGAAAUCCUGGUUUGCCAUUUAUUGAUCCUAUGAUCUUAGAAACAUUAUUUAAACUCUUUAAGCCUUUUUUUUUCCUCCAAAG